rnacentral:lncRNA from 8 species
GACCAAUCAGAUAUCUGAUGUCAAAAGACAAAUUAGUGGAAGAAAGAUCAGAAUUGGGAUGCUUGUCUAAGCGCAGUUGAAGUAGCCUUGCCCUAGAUAAUUGCUUUUUUUUAUUAUGGAUUCAUGCUGCAUUCGCAAAAAAGUGGUAGGUGGGAAUUUACCAGUUGUAAAGUCGUAAAUGCAAUCGCGUGCUUUGAAGUCGUUGAGAAAUGUCAAUUGGAUAAUGGCCAACCAGCUGCAUAAACCAGAAAACUAAAAGUACAGCUAUCAUGAUUGUAAAUAAAUAAGUGUUAACAUAUAUUUUUUAAAUAGAUUGCUUUUUUAUAAAUAAUGUUUUGUUGUUGCAUUUAACUGUUGUUGCAUUUAACCUUUAACGGGGCGGUAGCGUAGCCUAGUGGUUAGAGCAUUGGACUACUAACCGAAAGGUUGCAAGCUCGAAGCCUCAAGCUGACAAGGUACAUCUGUCGUUCUGCCCCUGAACUAGGCAGUUAUAACCCACUGUUCCUAGGCCGUCAUUGAAAAUAAGAAUUUGUUCUUAACUGACUUAGUUAAAUAAAGGUAAACCAACCACCUGAAAAUGAUAUUUUUGCGGUAAUUUCCUUAAUAGGUGAUGUCAGAGGUCUGCAUGUGGGAGCUCAUGCCACGUUCAUGUGCAAGUCCGAACUAGAAAAACUCAGAAAUCCCUGACUUGCUGACUGGUUGAACACGGCACGGAGUUUCGUAGUUCCGCGGCAUCCCACUAGUAAUUACCAGUUGGAGGGCAGUUGAAGUGGAUCUUUCCCAGUCGUAUGUGGUAAAUUCCCACUUGGUUACAUAAACACAGCAUGAGUCUGACCAUUUCCAAUCAAUGUCAUUGAACACAGCUGUUGCUGUGAACUCACUAUAUGGCAGCUGUAAAUGUCAUGGAAUAUCAGUGAAGUUGAAACAGCUCUCUGUUAUUGUUUCCUCGUGGCUUCUAGAAUAACACAGAUGGGUGUUCACGUCAAACCAGCUCAAUGUAAGCAGAGCGCUACUGAAA